rnacentral:rRNA from 1 species
AGUUAACGUUGGCGGCGUGCCUAACACAUGCAAGUCGAACGCGUCCUAAGGGCAACUUUAGGAUGAGUGGCGAACGGGUGAGUAUCACGUGGGUAAUCUUCCUUUAAGUGGGGAAUAAGCUCUCGAAAGGGAGUCUAAUACCGCAUGACAUUCCGGGACACAAGUCCCGUAAUCAAAGCCGCAAGGCGCUUGAAGAUGAGCCUGCGUCCUAUUAGCUAGUUGGUGGGGUAACGGCCUACCAAGGCUCAGAUGGGUAGCCGGCCUGAGAGGGUGAACGGCCACACUGGGACUGAGACACGGCCCAGACUCCUACGGGAGGCAGCAGUGAGGAAUAUUGCACAAUGGGGGAAACCCUGAUGCAGCAACGCCGCGUGAAGGAUGAAGGUUUUCGGAUCGUAAACUUCUUUGAUGAGGGACGAAUAAUGACGGUACCUCAAGAACAAGCCACGGCUAACUACGUG